AGGAUUUGACAUGCUAGAUAGUUGCAGAGAUGCAUCGUCCCUUCGGGGCAGGUGAC
rnacentral:rRNA from 1 species